UUGGAGGGCAAGUCUGGUGCCAGCAGCCGCGGUAAUUCCAGCUCCAAUAGCGUAUAUUAAAGUUGUUGCAGUUAAAAAGCUCGUAGUUGAAUUUCGGGGUUAGUAGGUUGGUCAUGCCACUGGUAUGUACUGGUCUCACUGAUUCCUCCUUCCUGAUGAGCCGUAAUGCCAUUAAUUUGGUGUUGCGAGGAAUCUGGACUGUUACUUUGAAAAAAUUAGAGUGUUUAAAGCAAGCUAACGCUUGAAUACAUUAGCAUGGAAUAAUGAAAUAGGACGUUCGAUCCUAUUUUGUUGGUUUCUAGGAUUGACGUAAUGAUUAAUAGGGAUAGUUGGGGGCAUUAGUAUUCAAUUGUCAGAGGUGAAAUUCUUGGAUUUAUUGAAGACUAACUACUGCGAAAGCAUUUGCCUAGGAUGUUUUCAUUAAUCAAGAACGAAAGUUAGGGGAUCGAAGACGAUCAGAUACCGUCGUAGUCUUAACCAUAAACUAUGUCGACUAGGGAUCGGAUGAUGUUAAUUUUUUAAUGACUCAUUCGGCGCCUUACGGGAAACCAAAGUGUUUGGGUUC
rnacentral:rRNA from 1 species